UUCUAGUCUUCAUCCAAGUAAUAAUGGCGAUGCCAGAUGUCACUUCCCAAAACCAACUGAGAGAAGUUGCUGCGGCAACUAAUCAUUUCGCACUUGAUUUGCACAAGGUUUUGUCCAAGGAAAAUGCGGGAAAUAUGUUUUUUUCGCCGCUCAGCCUGCAAGUGGCACUUGCGAUGGCUGCGGUUGGCGCCGCUGACCAUUCCAAGACCUUCAAUGAGAUGAAAGCAUUGCUGAGAUUUCCCGAUGACAAGUCCAAAAUGCUUUCCAGCUACAGUUUGCUGUCUGAUGCUCUUACCAAUUCAGAUGUGAUGAAAAUGGCAAACAGAAUAUACAUCGACAAGAAGUUCAAAGUGAAGCCAGAAUAUUUGGAAACGACACAGAAGUAUUUCAAAUCUGAUGCCAAGGAAGUUGACUUUGAGAAGAACGCUGAUAACGCAGGACAAGAGAUCAAUGGCUGGGUAGAACAGCAGACUAACAACAAAAUCAAGGGAUUGAUUCCCGAAGGAGCUCUAAAACCGGGUACUGUGAUGGUACUUAUCAAUGCCAUCCAUUUCAAAGCCGACUGGAAGUAUGCAUUUGAAGCGAGAUUAACUAAGAAGGAGAAAUUCUAUCUUGAUGAGACCAGAACUGUUGAUGUGGACAUGAUGAACAUUAAGAAAGAGUACAAUUUCUUCCACGAUACACAGCUGAAAGCUAAAUUUUUGGAGAUGCCUUACAAGGGAGAUGAGUUCAGUAUGAUUCUCGUGCUCCCCGACUCGAAAACCGGUCUCCCUGACUUGGAAAAGGCAAUCACCAACCAGAACUUUGAUCUGACCAAGAAGAUCGAAAAUAUCCAGAACUCUAGCCCCGUCAGCGUCAUGGUUUCCAUUCCGAAAUUUGAAAUGGAAUCAACUCAUAACCUGGAAGAAACUUUAAAAGAGCUUGGUGUCGAAGAGAUGUUCAGCGAUAAAGCGAAUUUCUCGAACAUCAACUCGGAAAAUAACAUUAAAGUUUCGAAAGUGAUCCAGAAGGCCUUUGUGUCUGUCGAUGAGAAGGGAACCGAGGCUGCCGCGGCUACUGCUAUUGGCUUUGCUCAGCGUAGCUUGUUCAUUCCGCGACAUGAGGAAUUUACAGCUGAUCAUCCUUUCAUGUUUCUCAUUACAAAACGGCUUCAAACGUGUGAUGGGUGCAUAGCCUUAUUCUCAGGCAUUUUCAGAGGCUAACUCAUUCAUUGAGUUGCUGAUAAAGUAUCCAGAUAUUUAUGUCUUAUUUCUAAAUGUAUCGCUAUAGCCGUUUUUGCAGCCCCUCGUCCACCUCCUCUGUCCUUCGAAUUCUAUGCUGACCAUCCUUUUCUAUGUCUGAUAACGAAGAAAAUGACCGCCACUAACAUGAUCCUAUUCAGUGGAAAAUAUACUGGAAAUUGAACUGGAAUCAACCUUGCGUAACCUGUUAUAAUCGGCUUUAUGUGUGUAUCUAUCAAUUCUAUCAUUUCUUGUAGCUGCAAUAUAUCUGUUUAUUCCUUUUCUA
rnacentral:misc_RNA from 1 species